CGUGGCGCAAUGGAUAGCGUGUUAGACUUCUAUACACGAAAUCUAAAGAUUGUGGGUUCGAUUCCCAUC
rnacentral:tRNA from 1 species